rnacentral:rRNA from 1 species
CCUACGGGUGGCAGCAGUAGGGAAUUUUCGGCAAUGGGGGGAACCCUGACCGAGCAACGCCGCGUGAACGAAGAAGUUAUUCGUAAUGUAAAGUUCUUUUAACAGGGAAGAAAGAGAAAUUUGACGGUACCUGAAGAAUAGGCUCCGGCUAACUACGUGCCACCAGCCGCGGUAAUACGUGGGGAGCGAGCGUUAUCCGGAAUUGUUGGGCGGAAAGGGUGCGUAGAGGGAAUGGUAAGUCUGUUGUAAAAAGGCUGGGCUCAACCCAGUAGGGCAAAAGAUACUGCAAAGCUAGAGUAUGACAGAGGCAAGGGGAACUACAGGUGUAGCGGUAAAAUGCGUAAAUAUAUGGAAGAACACCAGUGGCGAAGGCGGCUUGCUGGGUUGAGACUGACGUUGAGGCACGAAAGCGUGGGGAGCAAACAGGAUUAGAUACCCGGGUAGUC